rnacentral:rRNA from 1 species
GACGAACGCUGGCGGCGUGCUUAACACAUGCAAGUCGUACGGUAAGGCCCUUUCGGGGGUACACGAGUGGCAAACGGGUGAGUAACACGUGAGUAACCUGCCCACAACUUUGGGAUAACGCUAGGAAACUGGUGCUAAUACUGGAUAUGUGCUCCUGCUGCAUGGUGGGGGUUGGAAAGCUCCGGCGGUUGUGGAUGGACUCGCGGCCUAUCAGCUUGUUGGUGGGGUAGUGGCCUACCAAGGCGGCGACGGGUAGCCGGCCUGAGAGGGUGACCGGCCACAUUGGGACUGAGAUACGGCCCAGACUCCUACGGGAGGCAGCAGUGGGAAAUAUUGCACAAUGGGCGCAAGCCUGAUGCAGCAACGCCGCGUGCGGGAUGACGGCCUUCGGGUUGUAAACCGCUUUCAGCAGGGACGAAGCUUUUUGUGACGGUACCUGCAGAAGAAGCACCGGCUAACUACGUG